AGCAGAUGGUCGGAGGUAGAAGAGUUGAAUCAAUUUCUGAAAAGCCAAGACUUAUAGGGGCGGGCAGUCUAAACACACGGCUAGUCCCUAAUAUAACAGAGGCUAGCUUACCAGAGUCUGACUCGGAGAGUCUCGGAACGCAGCAGAGAUGUUGUUGUUGUGGAGCAGGGAGCCGGGCUGAGGAACCGGCAAAGCACAGAGCUUUGAGCUGCUGUUGUUCUUGGCAAGGCUGUAUUGCAGCUUAGGCCGACACUUGACAGACCUGCUGUCAGCCGGCAAAUUAUGAAGCAACGGGGAGCUCCAACCAGACCACCCAGGAUGAUAUUCAAUCUGAUUGUUAUGUGAAUGAAUGUACUUUGUUGAUUAAAGAUCUUUCAAAAA